CGACCGGCGCACGGGUGAGUAACACGUAUGGAACCUGCCCUAUGCAGGGGGAUAAGCGGAAGAAAUUCCGUCUAAUACCGCAUAACACCUUUAGGAGACAUCUUCUUGGGGUCAAAGGAGGCGACUCCGGCAUAGGAUGGCCAUGCGUCGCAUUAGCUAGUCGGCGGGGUAACGGCCCACCGAGGCGACGAUGCGUGGGGGUUCUGAGAGGAAGGUCCCCCACACUGGUACUGAGACACGGACCAGACUCCUACGGGAGGCAGCAG
rnacentral:rRNA from 1 species